UCUAACGUUGACCCGUAAUCCGGGUUGCGGACAGUGUCUGGUGGGUAGUUUGACUGGGGCGGUCUCCUCCUAAAGAGUAACGGAGGAGCACGAAGGUUGGCUAAUCCUGGUCGGACAUCAGGAGGUUAGUGCAAUGGCAUAAGCCAGCUUGACUGCGAGCGUGACGGCGCGAGCAGGUGCGAAAGCAGGUCAUAGUGAUCCGGUGGUUCUGAAUGGAAGGGCCAUCGCUCAACGGAUAAAAGGUACUCCGGGGAUAACAGGCUGAUACCGCCCAAGAGUUCAUAUCGACGGCGGUGUUUGGCACCUCGAUGUCGGCUCAUCACAUCCUGGGGCUGAAGUAGGUCCCAAGGGUAUGGCUGUUCGCCAUUUAAAGUGGUACGCGAGCUGGGUUUAGAACGUCGUGAGACAGUUCGGUCCCUAUCUGCCGUGGGCGCUGGAGAACUGAGGGGGGCUGCUCCUAGUACGAGAGGACCGGAGUGGACGCAUCACUGGUGUUCGGGUUGUCAUGCCAAUGGCACUGCCCGGUAGCUAAAUGCGGAAGAGAUAAGUGCUGAAAGCAUCUAAGCACGAAACUUGCC
rnacentral:rRNA from 1 species